AAUAAAGUAGUUGAAUAACAAUAUUUGUUUUGCAAACAAAAGGUUGCUAAUUGCCUUUAUUA
rnacentral:tRNA from 1 species